CUUUCAGGAUGCGUCCUUGACAAAUUGACCUCAA
rnacentral:rRNA from 1 species